UACGAAGGGGGGCUAGCGUUGCUCGGAAUUACUGGGCGUAAAGCGCACGUAGGCGGUCUUUUAAGUCAGGGGUGAAAUCCUGGAGCUCAACUCCAGAACUGCCUUUGAUACUGAGGAUCUCGAGUCCGGGAGAGGUGAGUGGAACUCCGAGUGUAGAGGUGAAAUUCGUAGAUAUUCGGAAGAACACCAGUGGCGAAGGCGGCUCACUGGCCCGGUACUGACGCUGAUGUGCGAAAGCGUGGGGAGCAAACAGG
rnacentral:rRNA from 1 species